rnacentral:rRNA from 1 species
UACGGGGGGGGUAAGCGUUGUUCGGAAUUACUGGGCGUAAAGGGCUCGUAGGCGGCCAACUAAGUCAUACGUGAAAUCCCUCAGCUUAACCGGGGAACUGCGUCUGAUACUGGAUGGCUGGAGUUUGGGAGAGGGAUGCGGAAUUCCAGGUGUAGCGGUGAAAUGCGCAGAUAUCAGGAGGAACACCGAUGGCGAAGGCAGGUCUCUGGGCCACUACUGACGCUGAGAAGCGAAAGCAUGGGGAGCGAACAGG